GCCACCGAGAAGGAAUGGCGUUUACAAUCAAACCUAGCCCGAGCCUGAUGCCAUUUCCAAAGAGGAAAAACCAGAGAAACACAUCUCAGGAUGAUUCAAAACUCAACCCCAUGUUGAGCAACUCAGAAGAAAAUCCAGCCACUCUCCAGCAUAUAAAAUUCCUGUGUGAAAGAUGUCCUCCUUAUACCAGAAGAAAAGUAUCAUUAUCAAGGAUGGGAAGUUGAGGCCGAGAGAAAUCUGCACAAACAAACCAUGUUAGACUAACCCUUAGUCUCCUAACCACUUCUCCAUCCAAAUAACUAUCCUAUCCCAAGUGCCUGUGCCU